GUCACGGAUCAGGAACUCGUUUCAGACUUAUCUACUAAUGAUUCAAGGUUUGUUAAGCAUACAAACUUAUAACAGUGUGACAUCACUUGGCCUAGGACAACACAUUAUUACGAUUCAUCAACAUAUGUAUUCGCUAUAAUUCUAUUUUUAUAACUUCAUCCCUCACUACAUUUAUUACUGACUCUUCAGCAAUUUGCCUAUAGCAGUUAAACAAGCUAGUAACCUGCUUAUAAAAUGUAGUUAUUGGAUGGCAAGGAAAU